UUACCUACGGGGGGCAGCAGUGGGGAAUAUUGGACAAUGGGGGCAACCCUGAUCCAGCCAUGCCGCGUGAGUGAUGAAGGCCUUCGGGUUGUAAAGCUCUUUUGGCGGGGACGAUGAUGACGGUACCCGCAGAAUAAGCCCCGGCUAACUUCGUGCCAGCAGCCGCGGUAAGACGAAGGGGGCUAGCGUUGUUCGGAAUUACUGGGCGUAAAGCGAGUGUAGGUGGUUAUCCAAGUUGGAUGUGAAAGCCUUGAGCUCAACUCAAGAAAUGCAUUCAGGACUGGAUGACUAGAGGACCGGAGAGGAUAGUGGAAUUCCCAGUGUAGUGGUGAAAUACGUAGAGAUUGGGAAGAACACCAGUGGCGAAGGCGGCUAUCUGGACGGUUUCUGACACUAAGACUCGAAAGCGUGGGGAGCAAACAGGAUUAGAUACCCGGGUAGUCUC
rnacentral:rRNA from 1 species